GACAGGAGUCACGUGGAGGAUUCAUCUCAGCACGUGCUCUGCUUGUGCGCCUAAUGAUCAAUAAUGAGAUUCGGGGAAUAAGUUCUUCUUGUGUUUGUCUGUUAUGGUGUGAGACUUGCAUUUUGUAGUUCUGUUCUGUGGAAUCCAGUAAAUUAGGUUUUUUACAGUCUUUCUGUAAUCGGGUUGCUCGGAUGCUUCAUGCAAUCAGUGCAAAAACCUGUAAAUAUUGUCUAGUUUUAAAAUAAUAAUAAUAAAGACAUUCUGGCUGACGUUAUGAUCAUGUUGUGAGUUUUUGUUAUACAAAAAAAAACGAGUUUGCGUGCUAAAUGUGUGUUUAGGGAUCACAACAGUGUGUAAGUGUUUAUAAAUCUUAAAUAUCAAAUUUGUAAAUUGAAAUACUACAGUAAUAAAGGUGGGACCCAUCGAGAACGUGGGUGGGUGGGGGGAUCAGUAGAAUAGAGCUCAAUGAGUGUGAUCACUGUGAUGAAUCUUAUUUGCGUUGGAGAUACUGAAGAUAAACCAGUCUCGUGCAUCUCAUGGAUAUAUGCACAUAUCUAUCUGUUUGUAAAUUGAAAUACUACAGUAAUAAAGGUGGGACCCAUCGAGAACGUGGGUGGGUGGGGGGAUCAGUAGAAUAGAGCUCAAUGAGUGUGAUCACUGUGAUGAAUCUUAUUUGCGUUGGAGAUACUGAAGAUAAACCAGUCUCGUGCAUCUCAUGGAUAUAUGCACAUAUCUAUCUGUGGUGCAUCCUUCAACCCUCUUAGUAAGAAAAAUAUCCAACAAAGAUUUUUCUUUAAUUGAUGGGACAUUCCCCAAAAUUAAUAUAAGCAAUACAAAACCAACCAACUAGCUUAUUCUAAAAGAUUGUUUUUCAGUUUAAUUCUGAUGUUAAAUAAAACCCCGCGCCUUCGCGGAGCAGGCGCGUCCUCCAGUGCAGCAGGCGGCGCUGCGCAGCAUCACAACCAGAAACAGCACAGCAGCAGAGCAAGAUGGGGACACGCUUGAAGGUGCUGCGGGUCUUCAGAGAUCUGCAUAAGACAAGAAGACAUGUUUUUAAAGAUGAUGACCGAGCUCUGACAGCUGCCAGGUUAAAAAUAAAUGAUGAAUUCCAAAAAAACAAAGAAUGAAACGUCAGAGGAAAAUAUCAAAGAGGUAAGUCACGUGACAGCACAGCUGAGUCUUGUGAUAUGAUUGAACUACAGGUGCUGGUCAUAUAAUUAGAAUAUCAUCAAAAAGUUGAUUUCACUAAUUCCAUUCAAAAAGUGAAACUUGUAUAUUAUAUUCAUUCAUUACACACAGACUGAUAUAUUUCAAAUGUUUAUUUCUUUUAAUUUUGAUGAUUAUAACUGACAACUAAGGAACAUCCCAAAUUCAGUAUCUCAGAAAAUUAGAAUAUUACUUAAGACCAAUACAAAGAAAGGAUUUUUAGAAAUCUUGGCCAACUGAAAAGCAUGAGCAUGUACAGCACUCAAUACUUAGUUGGGGCUCCUU
rnacentral:lncRNA from 1 species